ensembl:lncRNA
UUCCAGACGGAUGAGCCUCUGAACUCCAAGCCUGCUGCCUCUCAGCCUAUACCGAAGAUCCUGCGCUUCAGACCUCUCAAAUGCCGACUUCAAGGCAGAAGGACUCACAGAAGCCCCAACCGCCGCUCUCUCUCCUCGGCCAAGUGGUGAUGAAUUCGCCUUCUCUACAAAUAAUGGAAUGACGCGCCGCCCAGGGCUCACAGACAGCCCGACGGGCGCGUGUAGGGGCGGGCUGCCCCUGCUCUCUUGGAGUCUUUGCAGUGUGGAGGACAAGCUGGUGAUGGAGCCAAAAUUCUCCCCCUUCCCUUUUCCCGAACUUAAACGCAUUAGUCCUGCUCGGAGCACAGGAGUGCAGAGGGAAGAAUUGUUGAGUGAGAUAUGAUACAAUAUGAAAAAUGUCUCUGGUCUCUGAGCCACUUGUGUGAUGGAGCAUGACUUUGGCAGAAUAUCCUUUGAUUAACAUUGCUUAGACCCAUGUCAUAAACCUCCAUUGAAGCUUGACAUGUCAACAAAGACUGAAAAUUAUAUUUCAUCCCAAUUUGUGAAGAGUAAAAAUUAAUAUGAAGAUCAUAUCUAAAAGGUGGGCUCCAUGCCCCUUUUGCCUCCAGUUUUGAGAGGAUCUUGAGGGAAAAAAGGAGAAAAGUGAGAUGGUGAAACCUCCUCUAACAAUUUGAUUAAAAGUGAGAUCAGACUGACUGGUAUGGACGUAUUUAAUUCCUUCCUCAAGUGACAGCCUCCAGGCCAGACCAUUAGAAUGGCAAAGAGAAGAAUGGGACACAGAAAACACUUUUGGUAAGGGCAGAGAAGAUACCCAGACCCACCAGAUUUCUGCCAAAUUACCCUCCAAACAACUUGGAAAUAAUGCAUUUAAAUGAAUUCUGGAAUGGAAAAAUCCACAAAAGGAUGAAGAAAAAUCUUUUUUUUCAGCCCAAAACUAUGUAGAUAGUCAGCAUGAAAGAUCUACUGCUCAGGUGGAAGUAGAGUGUGUACAUCCGGGAACCAAGGCACCUCCUCAAGCUAGCAUGGGCUUUGGGGAUGACUAAAUCAACAACAAUGGCUUCUGAAACUCUCAGCCACAAGCUAUAAGGAAGAGUAGAUAAUAGAUGAGGAGGGAAUUAUAGGGGUCCCUUGCUGGCUUUGGGUACAAUACUCUGUAAUAUUGCUCCUAUGCAGAUUACAUAGUCCUGCAUCCCAAUCCCAGGAGUAAGGGGGAGCACUAAUAUACUCUAGCACUUGCAGCCACAGGGGAGCUGUGUCUCUAGUCAAAAUUAUAAGGUAGAAAGGAGAACCCAUGCUUUUUUUUACAGAGAAGAACACAGACUGCGAGAAUAUUAAGCAUACCUCUUCUUAGAUCAUACCACCUUAGAAUAAUUAAAAACUUAUAGAUCACACACUAGCUCCUAAGGCAGCUGCACAAAGAACCCAGAUUUUGGAAUAGUGCUCAUUUCUUCACAAGAAAGGAGCCCAAUUAUAACUUUCUUUUAAGUUAAAAGAAAAGGGAAAAGGCUAGAAAAUGAGCAAACAACAACAAAAAGAAACUCAACACAUGAAAUUAUUUUGGUGACAGAGAAGACUAAAAUACAAACAGAAGAAGACAACAAAGUCAAUAUUUUUUUCAUCCAAAGCCUCUAAGAAACAUAUGAAUUGGUUUCAAGAAUUAAUGGAGGAGGUCAAAAAGGAUUUUUAAAAUAAAAUAAGACAGAUAAAAGAAAAAUUGGGAAAA